rnacentral:rRNA from 1 species
AUGGGAACAACAUUAGAUAUCAACGAGGAAACAUGGAGAAGGCUGAAAUCUUCCGCAACCUGCAUGACACCUUGCGGUGGGAGCAAAAUCAUAAUCACCAGUCGGUCAGACAGAAUUGUGAAUCUGGGAACAACGGAAGCACUUCGACUGGACUAUCUCUCUCAAGAAGGUUAUUGGCAUUUUUUCAAGUCGAUUGCAUUUGGAAGCAUAAACCCUGGCGAGCAUCCAAAACUGGCAACUAUGGCUAUGGAGAUCGCUUUGGAACAGAGACAGUGUUUCUCAUGCGCGCAUGUCGUUGCUGGGUUAUUGCAACAUAAAUUCAAUGGCUGA